rnacentral:lncRNA from 1 species
GUGAAAACAUACAGUGAAGUCUAAACCCUCCAUCCAAGCAGCCAUUGUAGGAAAUGUUUCUGUUGGAAAAGAUGGUAACAUAUGAAAAUAUUCCUAAAUCUCAUUUUUCCUCUGAAGCAUUACUUAACCCUCAGGCAAUAAAUUUCACUGAACUCACUGAAGUGAGAAAUGGACCUUUUUAAUAAGGCUUUUAACUACACAUCUUAAUGAAACUUAAACAAAUGGUGUCCCUGCCACUAUGUUGGCUGCAUGUGUGUUUAUGUAUACUAUGUAAGAAGCAUACAUAUUUUUCAUGUUUAGAGAUUUACUGUUCUAUGGUAAUUUUCAAACAGCACUGGAAAAUAAACAGACAAUUCUUUCUUUUUAAUAACUGCAGUUUGCCAGCUUUCUUCUUUACCUGAGUAAUGACCACCAGGAGGGGCUUCACAGCAGCUUGUUUUGUUCCUAGAUCCAGAAAAAUAUGUGCAUUUGCCUACAAGGACAGUGUGCAUUUUAAGAGCCAGCUGUUACCAGGACUGCAAGCAUUCCUGUUGUUUGUUUUUGGAGGAGCCCUGUGUGGUUGUGUCGAAGCCCAGACGAUGUACAAAUUCGCCAGUGGUCACUGUGAAGAACACCAUGAUAUUUUAAAGAAAGUGUCUGGUUACUGGACACUUGUGUCUCAUUGGUGAAAAAAAAUGGGAAAGUAAAACCUGGCAAACUAGACCCAGAG